CUUACACAUGCAAGUCGAGCGAGGCCCUCCUUCGGGGGGUGCCCUAGCGGCGAACGGGUGAGUAACACGUGGGCAACCUGCCCUCAGCUCUGGGAUAACUCCAAGAAAUUGGUGCUAAUACCGGAUGUGACCGCUGACCGCAUGGUCUGGUGGUGGAAAGAUUCAUCGGCUGAGGAUGGGCCCGCGGCCUAUCAGCUUGUUGGUGGGGUAAUGGCCCACCAAGGCGACGACGGGUAGCCGGCCUGAGAGGGUGACCGGCCACACUGGGACUGAGACACGGCCCAGACUCCUACGGGAGGCAGCAGUGGGGAAUAUUGCGCAAUGGGCGAAAGCCUGACGCAGCGACGCCGCGUGAGGGAUGACGGCCUUCGGGUUGUAAACCUCUUUCAGUAGGGACGAAGCGCAAGUGACGGUACCUACAGAAGAAGCACCGGCCAACUACGUGCCA
rnacentral:rRNA from 1 species